AACGAACGCUGGCGGCAGGCUUAACACAUGCAAGUCGAGCGCCCCGCAAGGGGAGCGGCAGACGGGUGAGUAACGCGUGGGAAUCUACCCAUCUCUACGGAAUAACGCAUGGAAACGUGUGCUAAUACCGUAUACGUCCUUCGGUAGAAAGAUUUAUCGGAGAUGGAUGAGCCCGCGUUGGAUUAGCUAGGUGGUGGGGUAAAGGCCUACCAAGGCGACGAGCCAUAGCUGGUCUGAGAGGAUGAUCAGCCACACUGGGACUGAGACACGGCCCAGACUGCUACGGGAGGCAGCGGUGGGGAAUCUUGGACAAUGGGCGCAAGCCUGAUCCGGCCAUGCCGCGUGAGUGAUGAAGGCACUAGGGUUGUAAAGCUCUUUCACCGGUGAAGAUACUGACGGUAACCGGAGAAGAAGCCCCGGCUAACUUCGUGCCAGCCGCCGCCGUAAUA
rnacentral:rRNA from 1 species